GAUGAACGCUGGCGGCGUGCCUAAUACAUGCAAGUCGAACGCUGGAAAUCUAGCUUGGUAGAUUGAAGGAGUGGCGAACGGGUGAGUAAUACAUAAGCAACCUACCCACGAAGACUGGGAUAAUCUCUGGAAACGGGGACUAAUACCGGAUAGGUAAUCGGAAGGCAUCUUCUGAUUAUUAAAGGUUAAAAACACUGGUGGAUGGGCUUAUGGCGCAUUAGUUAGUUGGUGAGGUAACGGCCCACCAAGACGAUGAUGCGUAGCCGGCCUGAGAGGGUGAACGGCCACAUUGGGACUGAGACACGGCCCAGACUCCUACGGGAGGCAGCAGUAGGGAAUUUUCGGCAAUGGGGGAAACCCUGACCGAGCAACGCCGCGUGAGUGAUGACGGCCUUCGGGUUGUAAAGCUCUGUUGUAAGGGAAGAACGGUAGAUAGAGAAUAUCUAAAUGACGGUACCUUACCAGAAAGCCACGGCUAACUACGUG
rnacentral:rRNA from 1 species